UGGCGGCAGGCCUAACACAUGCAAGUCGAACGGGACCUUCGGGUCUAGUGGCGGACGGGUGAGUAACGCGUGGGAACGUGCCCUUUGGUUCGGAAUAGCCUCGGGAAACUGGGAGUAAUACCGGAUACGGUCGGAAGACGAAAGAUUUAUCGCCGAAGGAUCGGCCCGCGUUGGAUUAGGUAGUUGGUGGGGUAAAAGGCCUACCAAGCCGACGAUCCAUAGCUGGUUUGAGAGGAUGAUCAGCCACACUGGGACUGAGACACGGCCCAGACUCCUACGGGAGGCAGCAGUGGGGAAUCUUAGACAAUGGGGGAAACCCUGAUCUAGCCAUGCCGCGUGAUCGAUGAAGGCCUUAGGUUGUAAAGAUCUUUCAGUGGGGAAGAUAAUGACGGUACCCACAGAAGAAGCCCCGGCUAACUCCGUG
rnacentral:rRNA from 1 species